rnacentral:rRNA from 1 species
AUACGUAGGGGGCAAGCGUUGUCCGGAAUUACUGGGCGUAAAGGGCGUGUAGGCGGCCAUGCAAGUCAAGUGUGAAAGGCCACGGCUUAACCGAGGCACUGCACAUGAAACUGUGUGGCUUGAGUGCAGGAGAGGGAAGUGGAAUUCCUAGUGUAGCGGUGAAAUGCGUAGAUAUUAGGAAGAACACCAGUGGCGAAGGCGACUUCCUGGACUGUAACUGACGCUGAGGCGCGAAAGCGUGGGGAGCAAACAGGAUUAGAUACCCUGGUAGUCCACGCUGUAAACGAUGGGUACUAGGUGUGGGUAGUUCACUCUAUCCGUGCCGCAGCAAACGCAAUAAGUACCCCGCCUGGGGAGUACGGCCGCAAGGUUGAA